rnacentral:rRNA from 1 species
UUUGGAAACAAGGGGCUAAUACCGGAUAAGAAAGCAGAUCGCAUGAUCAGCUUAUAAAAGGCGGCGUAAGCUGUCGCUAUGGGAUGGCCCCGCGGUGCAUUAGCUAGUUGGUAGGGUAACGGCCUACCAAGGCAAUGAUGCAUAGCCGAGUUGAGAGACUGAUCGGCCACAUUGGGACUGAGACACGGCCCAAACUCCUACGGGAGGCAGCAGUAGGGAAUCUUCCACAAUGGACGAAAGUCUGAUGGAGCAACGCCGCGUGAGUGAAGAAGGUUUUCGGAUCGUAAAGCUCUGUUGUUGGUGAAGAAGGAUAGAGGUAGUAACUGGCCUUUAUUUGACGGUAAUCAACCAGAAAGUCACGGCUAACUACGUGCCAGCAGCCGCGGUAAUACGUAGGUGGCAAGCGUUGUCCGGAUUUAUUGGGCGUAAAGCGAGCGCAGGCGGAAGAAUAAGUCUGAUGUGAAAGCCCUCGGCUUAACCGAGGAACUGCAUCGGAAACUGUUUUUCUUGAGUGCAGAAGAGGAGAGUGGAACUCCAUUG